rnacentral:rRNA from 1 species
AUGGCGGAGCUGCAACCGUUGUCUGGCCAAGCUGCACCCCGCGGGUUCGCCGGUGCUGGAACCGUUAGCCGCCGGUUACUUCCGAGGUGUUUUUUGCUCGAACCGGCAUAUUAUUUUGCUGGAACUAGCUUGUUUUUUUGCUACAAUCGACCUUGGAGCUCUUCCUUGCUGAAUUUGUUUUUGCUGGAACCGGCUCAUAUUUUUGCUCGAAGCUGGUAUUUUUUUUGCUACAACCACUGGAGCUUUUUUCCUAUCAAAUUUAUUUUGCUGGAACUGGAGUUUUUUUUCGCUGGAACCUAG